AUUGAACGCUGGCGGCAGGCCUAACACAUGCAAGUCGAACGGUAACAGGAAGCAGCUUGCUGCUUUGCUGACGAGUGGCGGACGGGUGAGUAAUGUCUGGGAAACUGCCCGAUGGAGGGGGAUAACUACUGGAAACGGUAGCUAAUACCGCAUAACGUCGCAAGACCAAAGAGGGGGACCUUAGGGCCUCUUGCCAUCGGAUGUGCCCAGAUGGGAUUAGCUAGUAGGUGGGGUAACGGCUCACCUAGUCGACGAUCCCUAGCUGGUCUGAGAGGAUGACCAGCCCCCCUGGAACUGAGACACGGUCCAGACUCCUACGGGAGGCAGCAGUGGGGAAUAUUGCACAGUGGGCGCAAGCCUGAUGCAGCCAUGCCGCGUGUAUGAAGAAGGCCUUCGGGUUGUAAAGUACUUUCAGCGGGGAGGAAGGGAGUAAAGUUAAUACCUUGGCUCAUUGACGUUACCCGCAGAAGAAGCACCGGCUAACUCCGUG
rnacentral:rRNA from 1 species